UACGUAGGGUGCAAGCGUUGUCCGGAAUUAUUGGGCGUAAAGAGCGUGUAGGCGGCCCCGUUAGUCCGCUGUGAAAGUCCAGGGCUCAACCCUGGAAUGCCGGUGGAUACUGCAGGGCUAGAGUACGGAAGAGGCGAGUGGAAUUCCUGGUGUAGCGGUGGAAUGCGCAGAUAUCAGGAGGAACACCGAUGGCGAAGGCAGCCCCCUGGGCUAACACUGACGCUCAGGCACGAAAGCGUGGGGAGCAAACAGG
rnacentral:rRNA from 1 species